AUGAAAAGGCCGACACAGGGCUCUCCCUUCGCUUCGCAGCAAAACUCCCACCUGGUGACACCAUCAGCCCCCGAAGGGAUGAGACCAGCUUUCACCAAAUCUGUGAGACUGGCCGGUACCCAAAGAGGAUGCAGUGAAAAGGCUGACAUGGACUCACGAGGAUACAUUCCUCCCGACGUUACUCUGGUUCCAAUUAUAUAAAUUGGCGGUUCUAUUAGAAACAAACAAAAGAAGCAAACAGGAAAUAAUACGUACAUCUAACGUGAGUGUGUCCCUCUAGGGCCGCGGGGCUAGGGGCUAUAAUCAAGGAGGAUGGUCCUGUGCCAGCAGCAGAACUGCCCCCCCCCCCCCCCACGACUCCACUCAGCCCUCCUGGUCUCUCAGGCUCCGCGGCACCCGAGGAGAUUCCCGCAGACCCUGCCGCAAUCACCUCUGUGCUGAUGACUUUGCAGAUGUCAUCUCCAGUCGGACGUGCCUUCUAAGCUCCAGACCAACAGAAAGACUUGCCUUCCAGACACCUCCGGCUGGACACCUUGUGUCCAAAGGCUACCGUAGACUGAGUGGCUUAAGGACAAGCAUCUGUUUCCCUCAGGUCUGGAGUGAGGGAUUCGGUGUCUGGUGAGAGCCCCUUUCCGGUUCACACGGCAGAAGGGAGGGGGGCACACCCUGGGGUCUCUUUUACAAGGGCACUAAUCCCAUUCAUGACGGCCCCACUUUCAUGACCUGAUCACCGACCAGAGGCCCUGACUGCACAUACAAUCACAUUAGAUUUCAGCCUAUGGAUCUGGGGGGACCAUGAACAUUGCCCAUAGCCCACCUCAAAGUCAACAUGCCUCCCACUGAACUCAUGAAGUCCCCACAUUGACUUUAGUCCCUUCAACUUGCGGUUUCUCUGUGCCUUGUCUCACCGCAUCACAGAGCCCGAUGACCCAUGAGCUGAGUGAUGCUAGACCGCGAGCUCUCUCUGAACCCUCACAUCAAGCAGACGUCAAUUCUUUCCAUCCCAUGCCAUGAGUAUACUUACAAUUCCACCCCUCCUGUCCUUCCUCAACUUUUUAGCUCAAAUCAUCUCAUUGGUUUCUGGGAGUUAACUACAUGAGAUUCCUGACAGUCUUGUGAUGCCUCAUCCAAUGCAUCACCUAUGCCAAUACCAUGCUGAUCGUUCUAGAACCUAGGGAGGAUUAAAUCACCCCCUGGGCUGAGAUUUUUCCAUGCUUCCUCAUCACCUACAGAUUGAAUCUAAAAUCCUGGAGCACCUGGGUGGCUCAGUGGUUGAGCAUCUGCCUUUGGCUCAGGGCAUGAUCCCGGGGCCCUGGGAUGGAGUCCCGCAUCGGGCUUCCCCAUGGGGAGCCUGCUUCUCCCUCUGCCUGUGUCUCUGCCUCUCUGUGUCCCUCAUGAAUAAAUAAAUAAAUAAAAUCUUUUAAAAAAGAAAU
rnacentral:lncRNA from 12 species